rnacentral:antisense_RNA from 1 species
UUAUUUUUUUUAUUGCUUCUUAACUAACAGUUACAAUUACCACCAUGUGUAAAAUAAGAUCAGUUUCAGGAUGACUUCAAGGCCCAAGUUUAUAACAUUGGCAGGCUACAGGAGGUGGGAUGAGUCCUGCCAAAGCUAACAGCUAAUUUGGGGAAGUCUACUCCGACAACUUUGGUAAAAUCAACUAAACUCUCCUUAGUCUUUGUUUGCAGAAGUAGUAGUAGCUAGCUAACACCUUCUGAUUCCUUACCAUGUGCCCUUGACUGAGUUAAAUGUGUUAUAUGCAGACAACUGCGGUUGAAACAAGCUGCUACUCAUUAGCAGGAUGACUUAACCAUAAAAAUCUUCAAUUUUCUCAUCUGGAAAAUGGGGAUAAUAAGCUCAUAUAAUCUCCUAGGGUUGCUGGGAGAAUUAAAUCAGAAGCUAUGAUAAUAAGGCAGACAGAUGCUUCUGGAGUGUAGCAGAUUGUAUUUCUAAAAAUGGCCACAAGAAUGUGCUCUCCUAGAACCUUGCCCAUGCCCCCAUCAGGAGGUGGAUGGUUCUUUGUGACAGCCACAGUGAAUAGGAUGUGGUGGAGGUGGCACUGUGUGACUGGCUAAUAAAAGAUAACAUGGCCUCUGUCUCUCUCUCGUUCUGUACUGUAAGAGUUCUGAACCAUCCUGUGACAAGUCUAGUUACCCUAAAGCUGUCAUGCAGGAGAGACCAUGUGGAGAGAAGGAGAGUUAGAGAGAGGAGGAGCCCCUGCUGUUUGAGUAUUCUCAGCCCAGACACCAGACAUGAGUGAGGAAGCAUUCAGGAAAAGACAGAAGCUGAUUGAGGUCCCAGCUUGGUAACAGUUUGAAGAGUUGCAGGACUGGCUGGAUGAGUACUGGCUGCAGCAAGUCAGGCUGCCAGGAUUCUUUAUGGCUGUUUCUGCUUCCACUACAGCUGAGUCAGAAAGGUCGCUGCCCAGUGGUGGCACUAGACGCAGUGGACCUGGCAAGCAAAUGUUUCCGCUAUUAGCUCUCAGCAACAGAGACUCAUUUAUGGUCACCUUGGAAAUCUGGGCUUAUCGAUCUACAGCCCAAGUCUGCUGAGAAGCUGGAGCUUAAUAAAGGGGAAACCUGAGAGCUGUUCAAGCCCCAAACAUUUUCCACUUCUGCGUCACCUCUGCUGUCUGUUAGCAGAGUGGAGGAGAAAAUACACCAGCACAAACAAUGCGAAAAAAUAGUUACUCUAUUCAUUAAAAGCUGUAACUUCCAGAUUGGACUUGAGAAGCAAUUAAGCAACAGAGGCACCUCGUCUACUAUCUGUAUUCAGG